UACGAAGGGUGCAAGCGUUAAUCGGAAUUACUGGGCGUAAAGCGCGCGUAGGCGGCUUUGUAAGUUAGAGGUGAAAGCCCGGAGCUCAACUCCGGAAUUGCCUUUAAGACUGCAUCGCUAGAAUCAUGGAGAGGUUAGUGGAAUUCCGAGUGUAGAGGUGAAAUUCGUAGAUAUUCGGAAGAACACCAGUGGCGAAGGCGACUAACUGGACAUGUAUUGACGCUGAGGUGCGAAAGCGUGGGGAGCAAACAGG
rnacentral:rRNA from 1 species